UAAUACGGAGGGUGCGAGCGUUGUCCGGAAUCACUGGGCGUAAAGGGCGCGUAGGCGGCCUGAUAAGUAGGGGGUGAAAUCCUGCGGCUUAACCGCAGGGCUGCCUUCUAAACUGUCAGGCUCGAGCACAGUAGAGGCAGGUGGAAUUCCCGGUGUAGCGGUGGAAUGCGUAGAGAUCGGGAAGAACAUCAGUGGCGAAGGCGGCCUGCUGGGCUGUUGCUGACGCUGAGGCGCGACAGCGUGGGGAGCAAACAGGAUUAGAUACCCUGGUAGUCCACGCCGUAAACGAUGGGCACUAGGCGUCGGGGGGAGCGACCCUCCCGGUGCCGUCGCUAACGCAGUAAGUGCCCCGCCUGGGGAGUACGGCCGCAAGGCUGAAACUCAAAGGAAUUGACGG
rnacentral:rRNA from 1 species